rnacentral:lncRNA from 1 species
AUGUGUCCUUUUAAAAACAAGGUAUUUAAUGCCCUUUUGGGUUUGGAGAGGCACUGGGCUCGGCACCCUGCAGUGAGGAGGUUUCUUCACGCCAGAGCUCCAUGUACGUUCUUCAAGGAAAGAAUGGGCAUGCGGCCUCAGCUUCUGGUGUCUAUUUUUAUGCCCUGGUUGUGUGUAGGGGAAAAUGGGAAUAUAUUUUCGGUAUGUGUGUUUUUUCCCUGUUAUGUUUUUCAAUUGAAAAGGCCUUUGGUCAUUAAUUUUAACUAUAAAUUAGUAGUAUAUGCAUAUAACGCCUGGUUAUUUCUUCUCUAGAGUAAGAAAUAUCAACUGGUUCUGUUAAUUUUUGUAAAUCUUGCCAUAAUCAUGUAUCCUUCCUUAUUUGAAACGUCUAUAUUUUUCAUUGCCUAUAAGAAGAUUUCUAAAAUUUUUAACCUACCAGACAAGAUAUAAAACUGCCCUAAAAUAUUCCUCAACCCCUUUGAAGGCUAGUUCUCUUGCUGCUUUCUCUCUGCACUCGUUCUGGAUUGCCUAGCCAGAAAUUGUCAGACCGCAUCCUUUGAAACAGAUGUUGCCUCGUAUUAAAGCUUCUCGUGUGCACAUUUGUCAGUUGAUACCUUGCUCCUCUGUGUGUCAUCUCCAUUUAUACACUGAGCAGUGCUGCUGGAAAUCCGCCGUGCACCAAGCACUGUUCUAGGUGUGAAGGCAGCAGCAGUGCAUGGGAGUCUAGGUUCCUGUCCUCAUGAAAUUCAUAUUCUAGUUUGGAAAAGAUAAUGAGGGAGACAAAAAAUUAAAUAAACAGAGGCAUAGAGCCUUUUAGAUCUUAAAUGCUUUGAGGAGAAAACAGUAUAUAUGAUAGAAAGUUUAAGGACAGUACCAGUGUUGAUUUGGUGGUGAUGGAAGAUCUCUUUGAAAAUGUGACAUUUACGCCAAAGCUCAGUGAUAACGGUGGAGCAGUCAUUUGAAGAUUUGGGAGCAGAGUUCUCCAACUGAAAGACAGACAGUGCAACGGCAUUAGAGAGAGGAAAGAAGGGGGCCGUGGGGGAAGAGGUAGUAGGAGGUAGGUUAUGCAGAGUCUUGUAAGCAGAGGUAAGGGAUUUGGAAUUUAUUCUAAUUUAAUUUCGAAGCCUGUGAAUUGUUGUUUAGUCGGUAAGUUGUGUUUGACUGUGCAGCCCCAUAGACUGUAGCCCAUCAGGCUCCUCUGUCUGUGGGAUUUCCCAGGCAAGAAUACUGAAGUGGCUUGCCAGUUCCUUCUCCAGGAGAUCUUCCCCACACAGGGAUCAAACCUGCAUCCCCGACAUUGGCAGGCGAAUUCUUUACCAAUGAGCCACCAGGGAAGCCCAGCUUUUAAGGGUUCGUGUGAUUACAUUGGGCCCCCCCCCGCACCCGCCCGGGUUACCCUCCCCUCCUUUACUGAGAGUGUACUAUACAACCAGCACAGUAGUCGGCACUGAUUUGUAUUAUUGAGCAAGCAAACAUUUUAAUCCAGAGGCCACGUAAAAACAGGGCAGAAGUGACCUACAUUCUGAAGGAAAGUCCACAUCAAAAGGUCCAGGACCAUAGUGCUCUGGAGUUGGCCUGCUUGAAUCACAGGACUUUGACUGUGGUUUUAAGAGUUGUUAUUUACAGGUUACAAGUUAACUGUCUCAUGUCUCUCAGCUCAGUGCAGUUCAGUCGCUCAGUCGUGUCUGACUCUUUGCGACCCCAGAACUGCAGCACUCCAGGCCUCCCUGUCCAUCACCAACUCCCAGAGUCCACCCAAACCCAUGUCCAUCGAGUUGGUGAUGCCAUCCAACCGUCUCAUCCUCUGUCAUCCCCUUCUCCUCCUGCCCUCAUUCUUUCCCAGCAUCAGGGUCUUUUCAAAUGAGUCAGCUCUUUGCAUCAGGUGGCCAAAGUAUCAGUUUCAGCUUCAACGUCAGUCCUUCCAGUGAAUAUUCAGGGCUGAUUUCGAACAUCAGUUCCUCUAGAAAACUUGCCUGAACCUCUCCUCUCUGAUUCCACUUGUCCU